ACCAACAGUAAAAGAACACUUGAAACAGCAUACUGCCGAGGUACAAAGUCAACGAGAGAAAUCCGACGCUGAGAAGCUUUUUCUGCAAGGAAAAUUUACUUCAAUAUUUAAAUGACACCGCAUAAAUUAGAUAGAGAUCCUCGGGAUUUCAGUUUACGCGACCUUGGACAUUUGGAAAAUACUGGUGCACAGAGUGACCAUGCUGAAAAUGAAUAAAAUCGUCACGGUCCACACAAACAACGACUGUAUCCUGCGCACGAUCUCGUACGUGAAGGGUGAAGCCGUAGACGAGGGAGUCGAACGAGACGUUCAGUAAUACCCCGUAAAAUAUUGCGCCUACAUGAUUAAGAUAGGUCAACAAAUACGGAUAUAAGCCGGAUAUCGAGUACGGCAGAAACAAGAUGUGAAUAGAAAAGUAUCGUAUCGUACUUGUAGCAGAAACUUAAGAAACGAACGAAAAGAUUGUUAUCCUUUUUUUCGCUCCACGCACCGCAGAACCAGAGAACCCGGAAAUUCAAUGGCAAUAUAUCCAUAAUUCCGGAACGGCCGCUCCGGUGAAUGGUCUCCCUCUUGUCAUGCCUCGCUAUGCUUUGAAAAUAUGAAGCUUGGAAAAAAUUAAUGCUAGGAAAAAAAAUGUAUAACGAGACUUUCCAUACAUUGUCAACGUCCGUUCUCAUGAAUUAGUAAUCGCUGGAACGUUCUAAGCGUUCUUUAACAUUUAAUGCCGUCGGACAAUGGGAGAGAAUUCGCUGAUUUUUCUUUCUCCGCUACAUUUUCUCUUCGACUCUGUAUUCUUUUUCAUGUGUUUACCAGACAUUCGCGAUGACAUAACCAGUCAUUAUUUCUUAAAUUAUGAACUUAUGUAAUGCAUAUAGUAUCGAAUGUACGAAGGAUACCGAGAGUGAAGGAUAUUAAAGUAUUACUACUAUUGA